rnacentral:lncRNA from 1 species
CACACCCAGAGAAAAGUCUCAGAAGGCCAUCCAGGAUGAGAUCCGCUCUGUAAUCCGACAGAUCACAGCUACCAUGACGUUUCUGCUACUGUUGGAAGUCUCUUGUAGAGGAAUGGAAACAUGUUCCGACUGGGCCUAUCAGGGUCUGAAAUAGAGCCCCAGAAGGGACUGAACCACAUGUCUCCAGGAUUCUUCUCCCAGUGUCAUCAAUUGGAGAGAGGAGUCAAGCCUCCAUGGGAAUUCACACAGAGGAAGAGCUCAUCUGUGGAGGUGGACACCGACAGCGAAAGCACUACAUCAUCUGAGGGUGCCACUCGUACCUUGCUCAUCCAUGGCCCUGUUGAGCUCAAGAGAGGCUGGAGGAGGCAGAAGCAGCAGCUUUUCUUGUACAGCGAUUUGUUGCUGAUGUCUAAUACCAAGUAGGUGUAGCAUGUUUCGUACCCUUGUGAUUCUCAAGAAAAUUGCCUUCCCAUUAACCCUUACUAUAAGAAAACAUUACAUUUUUUUUUCCUUUUGUGUUUGCCAAUGGUUGAAUCCUUCAUUCCACGAGUACUUCUGGAGGUCUUGUUUCGUGUCAUGUCCCUGCAGCGAAUACAAUUGACAAUGUGACAGGCCAGUGUCUCUCCUGCCUGGGACUUACAAAUGAUAAAAAUAAGAGGGGGAAUGAUAAUGAUUAGUGCUGCUGAUAGAAGGUGGAUAGGGGGCUGUGCCGAGAGGGUGGGAACGUGUUAGAGAGAAAUAGUCUAGGAGGGCCUCUCUGAAGUGGAGCAUUAAAACCAAAUCUAUGAGAGGAGAAGCAGCCACAUUCCCAGACAAUGUGCCUGAGCCAUCGAGGCACAGGCCUAAGUGGGUACAAUCUGACCCCUCAGAGAGAGGGGCUCAGGGAAGCUAGAGCAUGGGUCAUGCUAUCAGAUAUGAUAACCUCAGAAAGUUUCUGAACACAAGAGUUUAGCUAUUACUUGGCCGAGCUCUGACUAGAGCCUGGAGCAUGGGCCAUGCUAUCAGAUAUGGUACUGUGCUCAGGGGUCUAGUCACACAGGGUCUUCACAGGCCAUGGUAAAAAAUGUGGAAAUAUUUUGCUGAAGGAGUUUUAACUAGGGGACUGACCAAAUCUGAUUUAUAUUUCUAGCAAAUUUUUCUGACAGUUGGUAGAUAAUAGAUGGAUGGGUAAGCAAGAGUGGAAGCAGGGAGAGUAGUUAGGGGAGGCAAUAGUCCUGAUGGAUGGUAUCAGGUCUCUACCUUAGCAGUUUAGUAAAAAGGAAAGAUGGAGCAGGGUAGCCCGGGUGGCUCAGGGGUUUAGCACCACCUUUAGCCCAGGGUGUGAUCCUGGAGACCCAGGAUCGAGUCCCACGUCAGGCUCCCUGCUGGGGGCCUACUUCUCCCUCUGCCUGUGUCUCUGCCUCUCUCUCUCUCACUCUCUCUGUGUCUAUCAUAAACAAAUAAAUAAUUUUUUUUUAAAAAAAGAAUAGACUAUGACCCCUGCUCCCAACAUUUGUAAGAGAAUGCCUCUAUCUUAGAACAGAGGAAAUCUCCCUAGAAUCCUGCAAAUCUCCACAGUUCACUGGGGCUUACUUUCUGGUAUAAAGGUUAAGGUACCCAAAAAAACCCCCCCUUUUUUUUUUUUUAAAAAGGGGGGGAAAAAAAAAAAAAAAAAUUUUUUUUUUUGGGGAAUUUCAAAAAGGUUUUUUUUUUUUUUCCAAAAAAAAAUUUUAAUUUUUUUAAAAAAAUUUUUUUUUUUUUUUCCCCGGGGGUUUUUCCCAAGUUUUUCGGGGGGGUUUUUUUUUAAAAAAAAAAAAAAUUUUUCCCCUUUUUCCCUUUUUUUAAAAAAAAAAAAAAAUUUUUUUAAAAAAAAAGGGGUUAAAAAAAAUUUUUUUGGGGGGGGGGUUUUUUGUUUUUUUCCCCCCUUUAAAAUUUUUUAAAAAGGGGGGGGGGGGGGGUUUUGGGGGGGGGAAAAAAAAAGGGCCCCCAAGGGGGGAAACCCCCCGGGGGGGGGGGAAAGACAGGGG